CCGGUGACGUAUCCUUCAAAUGUCUGACUUAUCAGCUGUCGAUGGUAGACUCUGUGUCUACCAUGGCUCUCACGGGUGACGGGGAAUCAGGGUUCGAUUCCGGAGAGGGAGCCUGAGAAACGGCUACCACAUCCAAGGAAGGCAGCAGGCACGCAAAUUACCCACUCCCGGCACGGGGAGGUAGUGACAAAAAAUAACGAUACGGGACUCAUCCGAGGCCCCGUAAUCGGAAUGAGAACAUCCUAAAUCCUUUAACGAGGAUCUAUUGGAGGGCAAGUCUGGUGCCAGCAGCCGCGGUAAUUCCAGCUCCAAUAGCGUAUAUUAAAGUUGUUGCGGUUAAAAAGCUCGUAGUUGGUUCUGCGUGCCACGCUGUCGGUUCACCGCCUGUCGGUGCAACUGGCAUGUCGUGGUAUGUCCUGUCGGUGGUUUAUAGGCUUCGCGGCGCUCCCUACACAACACGUUGUGUAGGUCGUCGAGUCGUACCUAUACUCCGGCUCAAUCCUACCGCGGUGCUCUUCAUCGAGUGUCGAGGUAGGCCGGCACAUUUUACUUUGAACAAAUUAGAGUGCUUAAAGCAGGCAAAUGAAUCAGCCUGAAUAGUGGUGCAUGGAAUAAUGGAACAGGACCUUGGUUUUAUUUUGUUGGUUUUAGAAAUCCAAGGUAAUGGUCAAUAAGGACAGGCGGGGGCAUUCGUAUUGCGACGUUAGAGGUGAAAUUCUUGGAUCGUCGCAAGACGCACUAGAGCGAAAGCAUUUGCCAAGUAUGUCUUAAUUGAUC
rnacentral:rRNA from 1 species